rnacentral:rRNA from 1 species
UAUUAUUUUUAAUGUUAAUUUAUUUUCCUGGGUAGUAUUAGAUAUGUUCUUGAAACCUAAAGAAUUUGGCGGUAUUUUAUUCCUUUCAGAGGAAUCUGCCCUGUAAUCGAUGAUCCACGUUGGACCUUACUUGAUUUUUUGUUUGUAUACCGCCGUUAUAGUGGAAAUCUUUUUAGUGUUAUUAAUUUCCUGGUUUUAUGAUUAUGAUUUAUUUCAGGUCAAGGUGCAGCUUGUUUUUAAGUUUGUGGUGGAUUACAUUGUGUUUGUUGAUUUUGGAUUAUUGGUUGUUAUUACUGAUAUGAAAUUGGAUUUGAUUGUAAUUUGUUGAAGAUUGUUUUAAUGAUAUUGGUUCUAAAAUAUGUACACAUCGCCCGUCGCUCUCAUUAUUUGGUUGAG